UUAACAGAGACUCCCCCAAGGAGGACAUACACAGGGUCCAUACACUUAAGAAAAAAUACUCUGCAUCAUGAGCCAUCAGAGAUAUGCAAAUUAAGACCAUAAUCAGAUACCACUUUACACAAGUCAGGGUGGCCAUCAUAAACAAAUCAACAAACAACAAAUGUUGGAGAGGAUGUGGGGAAGAGGAG